AUAUAUUUAGAAGAUUAAAAUAUUUAAUCUUUUAUUAUUCUACUAUAAAAUUUUAAAAAUACAUACUUUAAACUAUCUAUUUUUUCUUCACCCAGUCGUUGGAUCAUCGAGUCAGAAAUCGAUGAUGCCAAUAAGACUGGUACAUCCUAUGUAUGCUCGAUGGAGAGAGUGAUUGAUCUCACAAUCAUUUAUGUGGUGACACUAAUACAAGGAUGUAGGUACUCAUUAGAGAAUGAGUUCACUGAACUGAUCUAUAGGGAGAACAUCUGAUGGAGCCUUACAGUAUGUCGAUAGAUGGUUCUCC
rnacentral:lncRNA from 1 species